CGAACGCUGGCGGCGUGCUUAACACAUGCAAGUCGAACGAGAAAGUGGUCUUCGGACCGCAAGUAGAGUGGCGCACGAGUGAGUAACGCGUAGGUAAUCUACCCUUAUGCCUGGGAUAACAUCGGGAAACUGGUGCUAAUACCGGAUAUCCUUCUUGACUGCGGGGUGAAGGAGGAAAGGUGGCCUCUUCAUGAAAGCUACCGCGUAGGGAUGAGCCUGCGUACCAUUAGCUAGUAGGCGGGGUAACGGCCCACCUAGGCGACGAUGGUUAGCGGGUCUGAGAGGAUGAUCCGCCACACUGGAACUGGAACACGGACCAGACUCCUACGGGAGGCAGCAGUGAGGAAUAUUGCGCAAUGGGGGAAACCCUGACGCAGCGACGCCGCGUGAGUGAGGAAGGUUUUCGGAUCGUAAAGCUCUGUCAGAAGGGAAGAAAUGCUGCAUGGUUAAUACCCCUGCAGUUUGACGGUACCUUCAGAGGAAGCACCGGCUAACUCCGUG
rnacentral:rRNA from 1 species